rnacentral:rRNA from 1 species
UACGUAGGGUGCGAGCGUUGUCCGGAAUUAUUGGGCGUAAAGGGCUCGUAGGCGGUUUGUCACGUCGGGAGUGAAAACUCGGGGCUUAACCCCGAGCCUGCUUCCGAUACGGGCUGACUAGAGGUAUGCAGGGGAGAACGGAAUUCCUGGUGUAGCGGUGAAAUGCGCAGAUAUCAGGAGGAACACCGGUGGCGAAGGCGGUGCUCUGGGCAUUACCUGACGCUGAGGAGCGAAAGUGUGGGGAGCGAACAGG